rnacentral:rRNA from 1 species
AUUGAACGCUGGCGGCAUGCUUUACACAUGCAAGUCGGACGGCAGCACAGAGAAGCUUGCUUCUUGGGUGGCGAGUGGCGAACGGGUGAGUAACAUAUCGGAACGUACCGAGCAGUGGGGGAUAACUAAUCGAAAGAUUAGCUAAUACCGCAUAUAUUCUGAGGAAGAAAGCAGGGGACCAUUUGGCCUUGCGCUGUUUGAGCGGCCGAUAUCUGAUUAGCUGGUUGGUGGGGUAAAGGCCUACCAAGGCGACGAUCAGUAGCGGGUCUGAGAGGAUGAUCCGCCACACUGGGACUGAGACACGGCCCAGACUCCUACGGGAGGCAGCAGUGGGGAAUUUUGGACAAUGGGCGCAAGCCUGAUCCAGCCAUGCCGCGUGUCUGAAGAAGGCCUUCGGGUUGUAAAGGACUUUUGUCAGGGAAGAAAAGGACAGGGUUAAUACCCCUGUCUGAUGACGGUACCUGAAGAAUAAGCACCGGCUA